rnacentral:rRNA from 1 species
AUGCCAGCCUCCAAAAAAAAUCCACCACACAGUUUAUGUUGGCGUACUUGCCAGUGGCCGGCACACAUGCCAGCACACAAAAGGGGCGGGAAUUCGACCACGCCAUCUCAGCCGUGGUCAUGCCAGCACACUUGCCGGCAUAAAAAAAGGAUGGCGUUUUCCGCCAUAGAUCAUGAAUUUGAGCAUGACGGCCUGCAUCUUCUCAAACUAUGGCCUCCCUUCCGUCCGCCGCGUACCUCCUGUCCUUCCGUUUUGUUGGUUUUGUUGGCUGCACGACCCUCUCCUCGGGCGUCAGCUUCUUCUUUUUGGGCGGCGCCGCGGUCUUGCAGGGCGCGCGGUGAUUUCCUUUCGCGGAGGCGACAGAGGCGAGGUCGGACGAGGCGAGGCCGGCAGCGGCAUCGAGGGUCGAGGCAUCGUCGAUCAUGGCUGGGAGCGCGAGCGGGCGGGAGAGUUUUGAGAAAGUGGAGGAAAAUGGUGGUUGCUGUGCCAUCGACUGGCGGGCCAAGGCGCGUCGCGCGCGUCCGUUUCGUGUCCGCGUCGAUGCAAAUAUGA